rnacentral:rRNA from 1 species
UACAGAGGGUGCAAGCGUUGUCCGGAAUCACUGGGCGUAAAGGGCGCGUAGGCGGGCCUCCAAGUCCGGGGUGAAAUCCUCCAGCCUAACUGGAGAAGAGCCUCGGAGACUGGGGGCCUCGAGGGAGGUAGGGGCGUGCGGAACUAUGGGUGGAGCGGUGAAAUGCAUUGAUAUCCAUAGGAACUCCGGUGGCGAAGGCGGCACGCUGGACCUCUUCUGACGCUGAGGCGCGAAAGCCAGGGGAGCAAACGGG